GGUUAAGCGACUAAGCGUACACGGUGGAUGCCCUGGCAGUCAGAGGCGAUGAAGGACGUGCUAAUCUGCGAUAAGCGUCGGUAAGGUGAUAUGAACCGUUAUAACCGGCGAUUUCCGAAUGGGGAAACCCAGUGUGUUUCGACACACUAUCAUUAACUGAAUCCAUAGGUUAAUGAGGCGAACCGGGGGAACUGAAACAUCUAAGUACCCCGAGGAAAAGAAAUCAACCGAGAUUCCCCCAGUAGCGGCGAGCGAACGGGGAGCAGCCCAGAGCCUGAAUCAGUGUGUGUGUUAGUGGAAGCGUCUGGAAAGGCGCGCGAUACAGGGUGACAGCCCCGUACACAAAAAUGCACAUGCUGUGAGCUCGAUGAGUAGGGCGGGACACGUGGUAUCCUGUCUGAAUAUGGGGGGACCAUCCUCCAAGGCUAAAUACUCCUGACUGACCGAUAGUGAACCAGUACCGUGAGGGAAAGGCGAAAAGAACCCCGGCGAGGGGAGUGAAAAAGAACCUGAAACCGUGUACGUACAAGCAGUGGGAGCACGCUUAGGCGUGUGACUGCGUACCUUUUGUAUAAUGGGUCAGCGACUUAUAUUCUGUAGCAAGGUUAACCGAAUAGGGGAGCCGAAGGGAAACCGAGUCUUAACUGGGCGUUAAGUUGCAGGGUAUAGACCCGAAACCCGGUGAUCUAGCCAUGGGCAGGUUGAAGGUUGGGUAACACUAACUGGAGGACCGAACCGACUAAUGUUGAAAAAUUAGCGGAUGACUUGUGGCUGGGGGUGAAAGGCCAAUCAAACCGGGAGAUAGCUGGUUCUCCCCGAAAGCUAUUUAGGUAGCGCCUCGUGAAUUCAUCUCCGGGGGUAGAGCACUGUUUCGGCAAGGGGGUCAUCCCGACUUACCAACCCGAUGCAAACUGCGAAUACCGGAGAAUGUUAUCACGGGAGACACACGGCGGGUGCUAACGUCCGUCGUGAAGAGGGAAACAACCCAGACCGCCAGCUAAGGUCCCAAAGUCAUGGUUAAGUGGGAAACGAUGUGGGAAGGCCCAGACAGCCAGGAUGUUGGCUUAGAAGCAGCCAUCAUUUAAAGAAAGCGUAAUAGCUCACUGGUCGAGUCGGCCUGCGCGGAAGAUGUAACGGGGCUAAACCAUGCACCGAAGCUGCGGCAGCGACGCUGAUGCGUUGUUGGGUAGGGGAGCGUUCUGUAAGCCUGCGAAGGUGUGCUGUGAGGCAUGCUGGAGGUAUCAGAAGUGCGAAUGCUGACAUAAGUAACGAUAAAGCGGGUGAAAAGCCCGCUCGCCGGAAGACCAAGGGUUCCUGUCCAACGUUAAUCGGGGCAGGGUGAGUCGACCCCUAAGGCGAGGCCGAAAGGCGUAGUCGAUGGGAAACAGGUUAAUAUUCCUGUACUUGGUGUUACUGCGAAGGGGGGACGGAGAAGGCUAUGUUGGCCGGGCGACGGUUGUCCCGGUUUAAGCGUGUAGGCUGGUUUUCCAGGCAAAUCCGGAAAAUCAAGGCUGAGGCGUGAUGACGAGGCACUACGGUGCUGAAGCAACAAAUGCCCUGCUUCCAGGAAAAGCCUCUAAGCAUCAGGUAACAUCAAAUCGUACCCCAAACCGACACAGGUGGUCAGGUAGAGAAUACCAAGGCGCUUGAGAGAACUCGGGUGAAGGAACUAGGCAAAAUGGUGCCGUAACUUCGGGAGAAGGCACGCUGAUAUGUAGGUGAGGUCCCUCGCGGAUGGAGCUGAAAUCAGUCGAAGAUACCAGCUGGCUGCAACUGUUUAUUAAAAACACAGCACUGUGCAAACACGAAAGUGGACGUAUACGGUGUGACGCCUGCCCGGUGCCGGAAGGUUAAUUGAUGGGGUUAGCGCAAGCGAAGCUCUUGAUCGAAGCCCCGGUAAACGGCGGCCGUAACUAUAACGGUCCUAAGGUAGCGAAAUUCCUUGUCGGGUAAGUUCCGACCUGCACGAAUGGCGUAAUGAUGGCCAGGCUGUCUCCACCCGAGACUCAGUGAAAUUGAACUCGCUGUGAAGAUGCAGUGUACCCGCGGCAAGACGGAAAGACCCCGUGAACCUUUACUAUAGCUUGACACUGAACAUUGAGCCUUGAUGUGUAGGAUAGGUGGGAGGCUUAGAAGUGUGGACGCCAGUCUGCAUGGAGCCGACCUUGAAAUACCACCCUUUAAUGUUUGAUGUUCUAACGUUGACCCGUAAUCCGGGUUGCGGACAGUGUCUGGUGGGUAGUUUGACUGGGGCGGUCUCCUCCUAAAGAGUAACGGAGGAGCACGAAGGUUGGCUAAUCCUGGUCGGACAUCAGGAGGUUAGUGCAAUGGCAUAAGCCAGCUUGACUGCGAGCGUGACGGCGCGAGCAGGUGCGAAAGCAGGUCAUAGUGAUCCGGUGGUUCUGAAUGGAAGGGCCAUCGCUCAACGGAUAAAAGGUACUCCGGGGAUAACAGGCUGAUACCGCCCAAGAGUUCAUAUCGACGGCGGUGUUUGGCACCUCGAUGUCGGCUCAUCACAUCCUGGGGCUGAAGUAGGUCCCAAGGGUAUGGCUGUUCGCCAUUUAAAGUGGUACGCGAGCUGGGUUUAGAACGUCGUGAGACAGUUCGGUCCCUAUCUGCCGUGGGCGCUGGAGAACUGAGGGGGGCUGCUCCUAGUACGAGAGGACCGGAGUGGACGCAUCACUGGUGUUCGGGUUGUCAUGCCAAUGGCACUGCCCGGUAGCUAAAUGCGGAAGAGAUAAGUGCUGAAAGCAUCUAAGCACGAAACUUGCCCCGAGAUGAGUUCUCCCUGACCCUUUAAGGGUCCUGAAGGAACGUUGAAGACGACGACGUUGAUAGGCCGGGUGUGUAAGCGCAGCGAUGCGUUGAGCUAACCGGUACUAAUGAACCGUGAGGCUUAACCUU
rnacentral:rRNA from 3 species